rnacentral:SRP_RNA from 1 species
AGCUGGGUCCUGCGCAAUGGGAGCCUGUGAACCAGGUCAGGUCCGGAAGGAAGCAGCCUUAAGCGGAUACUUUCAUGUGCCGUGGGGAAGCCCGUCUUUGC